GACGAACGCUGGCGGCGUGCUUAACACAUGCAAGUCGAACGGAAAGGCCUCUUUCUGGGUGUACUCGAGUGGCGAACGGGUGAGUAACACGUGAGUAACCUGCCCUUGACUUUGGGAUAACUUCAGUAAACUGGGGCUAAUACCGGCUAGGAGCUCCUUCUACCUGGUGGGGGUUGGAAAGUUUCGGCGGUUGGGGAUGGACUCGCGGCGGAUCAGCUCGUCGGUGGGGUAAUGGCUUACCAAGGCUUUGACGGGUAGCCGACCUGAGAGGGUGAUCGGCCACACUGGAACGGAGACACGGUCCAGACGCCGACGGGAGGCAGCAGUAGGGAAUCGGCAGCAAUGGGCGAAAGACUGACGGAGCAGCGCCGCGUGAGUGAUGAAGGUCUUCGGAUCGGAAAACUCUGUUAUUAGGGAAGAACAAAUGUGUAAGUAACUAUGCACGUCUUGACGGUACCUAAGCAGAAAGCCACGGCUAACUACGUG
rnacentral:rRNA from 1 species